GACGAACGCUGGCGGCGUGCUUAACACAUGCAAGUCGAACGGAAAGGCCCUGCUUUUGUGGGGUGCUCGAGUGGCGAACGGGUGAGUAACACGUGAGUAACCUGCCCUUGACUUUGGGAUAACUUCAGGAAACUGGGGCUAAUACCGGAUAGGAGCUCCUGCUGCAUGGUGGGGGUUGGAAAGUUUCGGCGGUUGGGGAUGGACUCGCGGCUUGUCAGCUUGUUGGUGGGGUAGUGGCUUACCAAGGCUUUGACGGGUAGCCGGCCUGAGAGGGUGACCGGCCAAAGUGGGACGUGGUAACGGCCCAGACUCCUACGGGGGGAAGGGGGGGGGAAUUUUGCACAAAGGGCGGAAGCCUGAGGCAGCAACGCCGGGUGGGGGAUGACGGCCUUCGGGUUGUAAACAGCUUUCGCCUGUGACGAAGCGUGGGUGACGGUAAUGGGUAAAAAAGCACCGGUAAACUACGG
rnacentral:rRNA from 1 species